rnacentral:rRNA from 1 species
UACGUAGGGGGCUAGCGUUGUCCGGAAUCAUUGGGCGUAAAGCGCGUGUAGGCGGUCCGGUAAGUCCGCUGUGAAAGUCGGGGGCUCAACCCUCGGAUGCCGGUGGAUACUGUCGGGCUAGAGUGCGGAAGAGGCGAGUGGAAUUCCUGGUGUAGCGGUGAAAUGCGCAGAUAUCAGGAGGAACACCAAUGGCGAAGGCAGCUCGCUGGGACGUAACUGACGCUGAGACGCGAAAGCGUGGGGAGCAAACAGG